UUCAAUAUACUUAGCAUUAAUUGAUAUCACAUCUUUAUAGUGCUUAAUGAUCUAAUAUUUUUUUUUUACUUAGCCAUUUUUGCACGAAGUUUACGAAGGGUUUUUGUUGUGAUUUAUACAAUAUAGAUGGUUAUGACCCGCCGACCGCAGACACUCGUCGUCAUUUGCUCCCACCUAGGCCUCGAGCUGCAUACACGAAAUUGAGUGGGGGAACCGGCCGAUGCGACGACGACGGCUAGCGUGAUUCUGAAUUUAAUAUAAAUUUCCUUUAAAAAUGCCGCACUUUUUCAUGAAUAACGUAAGCGCCGCCCCUAAUCGAAUCUAUUUUUCUACUACAGAUUAUCCAAACAAACACAAAAAAAUUAAAUAAAUAUCACUCCAUUGUAAAAUCAAUACAUUCAUUGUUCCGCUUAGAAUCUAAAAUCUAAUUAUUAUAUAAUUAAAUAAUUUUAAAUAUAACAAAAUAUAUUGUGUAUAAUAUGAUAUUAUAAAAUUGAUAUUUUAAAUUAAAUUAUCCUUUGGUGUGCUUAAAUGUGUGUGGAUUGACUGUUAAUACUUUUAUUUUUUAACUCUCGAUCCUUUUUAUUAUUUUGAAAUACAUAAUAGUUAUUACAAAUGUAGCAAAAGUACCAUGCACUUUAGUCCUGGAACCAUGAAAAAGAUGGCCGACGGAACAAUUAUAGUGAUGAGGUCUCACUCUAAUCAUGAGCGUGAAGAUGAUACCCCUCAGUUAAUAGAUGCUUUAAAAGCAGUACUAAAAAGAAGAGCUGCUGCUGAAAAUAUUUUAUUAAAAGAAAUUUACGACGAAGAGUGCUUAAGGCAUCCAAUAGCAGCUAGCUUAUAUCCAUA